rnacentral:rRNA from 1 species
GGAGAAGGAAUCUGAGACACUAUUCCUAGCUCUACGGAGUGCAGCAGUUACGAAUCAUUUGCAAUGCACGAAAGUGUGACAAUGUGAACCAAAGUGCCUAUUCAUUUGAAUAUGCUUUUCUUUGCUCUAAAAAUGCAGAGGAAUAAGGACUGGGCAAGACCGGUGCCAGCCGCCGCGGUAAUCCCGGCAGUUCAAGUCGCAUCCACUAUUAUUGGGUCUAAAACAUCCGUAGCUUGUAGUUUAAGUCUCUUGUGAAAUCCCACUUCUCAAGUGUGGGGCUUGCAGGAGAUACUGGACUGCUAGAGAUCGGUAGAUGUAAGGAGUACACUGGAGGUAGUGGUAAAAUACGUUAAUCUUUGGUGGACUAACAAUCAGCGAAGGCACCUUACAAGGACGAAUCUGACAGUGAGGGAUGAAGGCCAGGGGCGCAAAACGGAUUAGAUACCCGUGUAGUCCUGGCAGUAAACACUGCUCACUAAACAUUGGGCCCUCUUCGGGAGGAUUCAGUGCUGAAGCGAAGGCAAAGAGUGAGCUACCUGGGAAGUAUAGUCGCAAGAUCGAAACUUAAAGGAAUUGGCGGGGAGACAUACAACGAGUGACGCGUGCGGUUCAAUUAGAUUCUACACCGUGAACCUCACCAGGACCGACAGCAGAAUGAAGGUCAGUCUAAAGGGCUUACCUGACACGCUGAGAGGAGAUGCAUGGCCGUCGUCAGCCUGUGUCGUGAGAUGACCAGUUAAAUCUGGUAACAGGCGAGACCCGUAUGUAUAUUUGCAUCUGCACAAUAUACAGACUGCCUUGGUAACAAGGAGGAAGGUGCGGGCUACGACAGGUA